GACGUAGGGCGCGAGCGUUGUCCGGAUUUAUUGGGCGUAAAGAGCUCGUAGGCGGCUUGUCGCGUCGACUGUGAAAACCCGUGGCUCAACCAUGUGGUCUGCAGUCGAUACGGGCAGACUAGAGUGUGGUAGGGGAGACUGGAAUUCCUGGUGUAGCGGUGAAAUGCGCAGAUAUCAGGAGGAACACCGAUGGCGAAGGCAGGUCUCUGGGCCACUACUGACGCUGAGAAGCGAAAGCAUGGGGAGCGAACAGG
rnacentral:rRNA from 1 species